UGGUAUGGUCCUUAGCAUUAGGUCCUUUUUGUAACCCCCACUGGUCUUCUAAGCAGAUUGAAGCUGCUUCAUCUCAUUCCUAAUUCAUCUUGAUCCCUUCAGUGGCUUAUUCUUGCAUUAGCAAUGUAAAACUGGCCCCAAUGGGUUUUAAAUGAUCAGAACUUGCUCUUGACCAGUUCAAAUAUUUUCUCACAAGGGAAAAUCAGUUCUGACCACUUCAAAUCUAUUUUGACCAGUUUAAACUAAUUCUGCCGAGCUGGAGCCUGAGGUCGGUAAACCCAGGAAGAUGGCUGAAGACGAUGCUGAUUUGAGCCACAGCAAGGAAUCAGGACCGAUACUUUGAUGACGAGUGACAGAAUGCUGCAAGAUUGAGGGUGGGGCUGGACCUCUGGUUUGCUACAACAUCUCAACAUCUUUUCUGAAGAUGGAUGAGGCUCUAUGGCUGCUUACCUGUAAGAUUCAUUUCCUACUUCAUCCUGGACCUGUGGCCACCAGAAGCCCUGAGAUAUGGAAGGAACAACUCCCCUAUGAAGCUUGCUACUCUGUUUCAGAGCUACAAGAUAGCUUCUUAGAUACUCUGGAACUGGCUGACCUGUAUUUAGAAAGGCACUUCAUUGGGAGCCAGAAUAAUAGAGGCUUCAAAAGGUGAGGUUCAUUGAUUGAUGAUUGGUGGCUUGUAUAUCCCCAAAAGAUACACUAUCCACCAAACUAAAUUUCAGGUGUAUUAAAGAGUUUUAUGCAAAAUAUUAAAGACUGAAAAAUAGAAGAAAUUGUAGCUGAAUAAGUUAUUUCCUCUUUGAAUAGGCUUAAAAUAAUAUAUGAUAUCACAAAGGAAAUGGUUAUUUAUUGUGAUUUUGCUGUUUAAAAUGUCCCCAAGGCAUAGUGCUGAAUUGCUGUCUAGUGUUCCUGAGUGCAAGAAGGCUGUGAUGUGCCUUAUGGAGAAAAUAUGUGUGUUAGAUAAGCUUAGUUCAGGCAUUAGUUAUAGUGCUAUUGGCUAUGAGUUCAGUGUUAAUGAAUCAACAAUAUAUACAUUAAAUAAAGUAUCUUUAAACAGAAACACACAUAAGCAAGGUAUGUAUUGACUUGCUGAGAAAAAUAUUGUUACGGAGGCUUGCAGAAACCUAACUCUGUGUUUCCCCAGGAACAGUCAUUCAGGAUUUGCCAAUUCAGUGUUUGCAGUAACUUUAUAAAACAUAACUAAUGUGAAUAAUGAAAAUCGACUGUAUACAGUUAUGAUUAUAAUAUAACAUGCUAAAUAUGUCAAAAUACAUGUAAAUUGAUUUUAAAAGGAAGAUCCUGGUUUUAAAAUGAGCAAAGGAAAUAUAUAUGUAAUUCACAAAACAAGGAAAACAAACCAUGUAUAUAAAUGUUACUGAAAAAAACUCUUCUAUUUUACUUGUAAUCAAGGAAAUCAAAUUGAAGCAAUGAUGACAUGUCAUAUUUUGUUGCCUAUCAAAUUAGAAAAAAUAGAAAAGAUAAUAUUCUGUGCUAAUUAGAGUGCAGUGGUCAUGCUUGUACAUUGCCAGUGGAUUAAAUUGAUAUGUUGUUUUGGGAAAUAGCUUGAGGAUAUGUAUCAAUAGCUCUAAAAAUCUCAAUAUCUUAUUACUUAGAAAUUCAAUUUUUAAGAAUGUUUCUUGAGGAAAUAGAGAUUCAGAUAAAGAUUUAUGUACCUUCAGUAAAACGUUAUUUGUAAAAAUGAGAAUGGAAAUGCCCAAGAAUAGGGGAAAUGAUGUAUUAUGGAUGGAAACAAGAUAGGAGACUUAGAAACUGUUAAAAAAAUUUUUUAAAGAAAAGUUAAUGGAAUGGGAAAAUGUUAAUGAUUUAAUUGAUAUAAAGCAGAUUAUGAACUAUAUGAUAAAAUUAAAUUACACUAAAGUUAUGUAUACAAAGCUAAAUCAACCUGAAAAUAAAUAAAUUUAUUUAACA